rnacentral:rRNA from 1 species
AACGUAGGUUCCGAGCGUUAUCCGGAUUUACUGGGCGUAAAGCGCGUUCAGGCGGUUUGGCAAGUCGGGCAUGAAAUCUCUCGGCUCAACCGGGAGAGGUUGUCCGAUACUUCCAGACUUGAGGGCAGUAGAGGGUGGUGGAAUUCCGGGUGUAGUGGUGAAAUGCGUAGAUAUCCGGAGGAAUACCAGUGGCGAAAGCGGCCACCUGGACUGCACCUGACGCUGACACGCGAAAGCUAGGGGAGCGAACGGG